CUAUAAGUGACUUGGAAGUGAAAUGUCAUCUUUGAAAAGGCUUGAAAAGACACUUUGAGAAAAGGAGAUGAACAGUUAACUGACACUGCUGAGGAGAACUGAGUAAAACGUCAUUCUGAAAGGAACUGAGUUGAGACAUUCUGAAGAAAACUAGUCUUUUUUCAGUAUUUUGGAGGACUGAGCAGGAAUCAGCAACCUCUUCAGCUCUGAAGGCCACCAGCAUAACUCAUCACAGUUCAUAGGGACAUCUGAGACAUGAUCACAGAAGAAGGAAAAAUAGAAGCAGGAAAGGAGAGAGUCAACUUUCCUUGUGUACUGAGGCAGCUAAAUGAUUCAGUGGAUAGAGCACUGGAUUUGGAAUAGGAAGACCUGAGUUUGAA